UACACAGAUGUAGUAGGAACUUCAGAAGAAGAUCUAGUGGAGAGUAGGAAGAGCUAAGAAAAGGCCAGUGACUGCUCUUCCUAAAAUACUGCUAACUUGAAAUACACUGGAUUAUGUUCCCAAGAAAACAAACAAUGAUUUUUAAAAUGCAAAGUUUUGGAAAGCUUGCAAUAAAGUGAGAAAUCACCAAAGGCCUAAACAAAGUCAAGUGUUUUCUGGUGAUUUCCCCCAGAACAACAGAAAAGAAACUCAGGAAAAGAAGUUACUCCAUUCAGCUGAAGUGAGAUUAUACCUGCAAACAGCAAAAACUGGAGUAAAAAGGCAG